UACGUAGGGUGCAAGCGUUGUCCGGAAUUAUUGGGCGUAAAGAGCUCGUAGGCGGUUCGUCGCGUCGGCUGUGAAAUCCCGGAGCUCAACUCCGGGUCUGCAGUCGAUACGGGCGGACUUGAGUACUGCAGGGGAGACUGGAAUUCCUGGUGUAGCGGUGAAAUGCGCAGAUAUCAGGAGGAACACCGGUGGCGAAGGCGGGUCUCUGGGCAGUAACUGACGCUGAGACGCGAAAGCGUGGGGAGCAAACAGG
rnacentral:rRNA from 1 species